GAAGAGCAUUUGAAACAGCAAGACUUGAGUACAGGAGAGGAAAGCGGAAUUCCUGGUGUAGAGGUGAAAUUCGUAGAUAUCAGGAGGAACACCCAUGGCGAAGGCAGCUUUCUGGACUGAUACUGACGCUGAGGCGCGAAGGUGUGGGUAGCGAACAGGAUUAGAUACCCUGGUAGUCCACACAGUAAACGAUGUUCACUAGGUGUAGCGGAUAGUAAAAUCUGCUGUGCCGGAGCUAACGCAUUAAGUGAACCGCCUGGGGAGUACGGUCGCAAGAUUAAAACUCAAAGGAAUUGACGGGGGCCCGCACAAGCGGUGGAGCAUGUGGUUUAAUUCGACGCAACGCGAAGAACCUUACCUGGGUUUGACAUCCUGUGAAUCCCCGAGAGAUCG
rnacentral:rRNA from 1 species